rnacentral:lncRNA from 1 species
CCAUGCAAGAGUAAGAAUUAAAAUAAUGUUGUUUAUAUCAUAAAAAGUGUCUAGUACAAUUUCUUGCUUUUCUUUUUGUAACACACACUUGUGUGUAUUGUACUGUAUACACACAUGUAGUAUACAACAAAAAGGAGGCCCAGAGAGGUUAAGGACCUUGCCUAGGAUCACAGAGCCAAACUGGAGAGGAAGGAAGCACUUGCUGAAUCCCAGAUUCCAUAACAUUUAUUGGAUUAUAGACACAAUGUGAGCUAUCUAGAAUAAGCAUCUAUUAAGCAUGUAUUUAAUCUCUACAACAUCAUUGGGAUAUUAUUGUAAUAUUACCAAUGAUAAUCUUGAGUAUCUUGCUCAAGGCCACUAUGUAGGCAAUGGUAGUGCCAACGCCAGGUCCUGCAUGAUGGGGCAUUCCCCUGAUCCCUCUUUUCUCUGUACACUUCCAGACGGCCAUUGAAUGGUAACAGUUGUGUUGAUCCACUCUUAGCUCUUCAGGAGCUUGUGGACCUGGGUGCAGGGCAAGCCUGGCCUCCUUGGUGAGACAGUGCUGAUAGGCCUCAUGAGAAGGUCCUGGUGAUUCCCUGGAAAGAGCGCUGACUACUGGAUGCUAGCCGGCUGUGCUCUUGGAAGCUGCCAGAUGAGGAGGCUGUCACACAAGGACAUGCUCUCUCCUUCUUCAUGUGCAGUCAGGCCUCAACUCUGGAGUGGACUCCCACUGUGGCUGCUUCAGGCCUGGUCACCGCCUCAUUUACCUCCAUAC